rnacentral:rRNA from 1 species
AACGAACGCUGGCGGCAUGCCUAACACAUGCAAGUCGAACGAGACCUUCGGGUCUAGUGGCGCACGGGUGCGUAACGCGUGGGAACCUGCCCUUAGGUUCGGAAUAACUCCCCGAAAGGGGUGCUAAUACCGGAUAAUGUCUUCGGACCAAAGAUUUAUCGCCUUUGGAUGGGCCCGCGUUGGAUUAGCUAGUUGGUAGGGUAAAAGCCUACCAAGGCGACGAUCCAUAGCUGGUCUGAGAGGAUGAUCAGCCACACUGGGACUGAGACACGGCCCAGACUCCUACGGGAGACAGCAGUGGGGAAUAUUGGACAAUGGGCGAAAGCCUGAUCCAGCAAUGCCGCGUGAGUGAUGAAGGCCUUAGGGUUGUAAAGCUCUUUUACCCUGGAUGAUAAUGACAGUACCGGGAGAAUAAGCUCCGGCUAACUCCGUG